GAUGAACGCUGGCGGCGUGCCUAAUACAUGCAAGUCGAGCGAACGGACGAGAAGCUUGCUGCUCUGAUGUUAGCGGCGGACGGGUGUGUAACACGUGUAUAACCUACCUAUAAGACUGGGAUAACUUCGGGAAACCGGCUCAAAUACCAGAUGAUAUUUUGAACCGCGUGGUUCAAAAGUGAGAGACGGUCUUUCGGUCACGUCUAGAUGGAUCCGCGCUGCAUUAGCUAGUUGGUAAGGUAACGGCUUACCAAGGCAACGAUGCAUAGCCGACGUGUGGGGGUGAUCGGCCACACGGGAGCUGGGCCACGCACAAGACUACUGCGGGACGCAGCAGACGGGAAUCUUCCGCAGUGGGCGAAAGCCUGGCGGAGUAAGGCCACGUGAGUGAUGACGGUCUCCCGUUCGUAAAACUCUGUUUUUAGUGAAAAACAUAUGUGGCAGUAACCGUGGACUGCGUGACGGUAACUAGUAAGAAAGCACCGGCUAACUACGUG
rnacentral:rRNA from 1 species